rnacentral:rRNA from 1 species
CUCGAUGAGUAGGGCGGGACACGUGGUAUCCUGUCUGAAUAUGGGGGGACCAUCCUCCAAGGCUAAAUACUCCUGACUGACCGAUAGUGAACCAGUACCGUGAGGGAAAGGCGAAAAGAACCCCGGCGAGGGGAGUGAAAAAGAACCUGAAACCGUGUACGUACAAGCAGUGGGAGCCUCUUUAUGGGGUGACUGCGUACCUUUUGUAUAAUGGGUCAGCGACUUAUAUUCUGUAGCAAGGUUAACCGAAUAGGGGAGCCGAAGGGAAACCGAGUCUUAACUGGGCGUUAAGUUGCAGGGUAUAGACCCGAAACCCGGUGAUCUAGCCAUGGGCAGGUUGAAGGUUGGGUAACACUAACUGGAGGACCGAACCGACUAAUGUUGAAAAAUUAGCGGAUGACUUGUGGCUGGGGGUGAAAGGCCAAUCAAACCGGGAGAUAGCUGGUUCUCCCCGAAAGCUAUUUAGGUAGCGCCUCGUGAAUUCAUCUCCGGGGGUAGAGCACUGUUUCGGCAAGGGGGUCAUCCCGACUUACCAACCCGAUGCAAACUGCGAAUACCGGAGAAUGUUAUCACGGGAGACACACGGCGGGUGCUAACGUCCGUCGUGAAGAGGGAAACAACCCAGACCGCCAGCUAAGGUCCCAAAGUCAUGGUUAAGUGGGAAACGAUGUGGGAAGGCCCAGACAGCCAGGAUGUUGGCUUAGAAGCAGCCAUCAUUUAAAGAAAGCGUAAUAGCUCACUGGUCGAGUCGGCCUGCGCGGAAGAUGUAACGGGGCUAAACCAUG